UACGUAGGCAGCGAGCGUUGUUCGGAAUUACUGGGCGUAAAGGGCGCGUAGGCGGCCUGCUAAGUCGGAUGUGAAAUCCCUCGGCUCAACCGAGGAACUGCAUCCGAUACUGGCGGGCUUGAAUCCGGGAGAGGGAUGCGGAAUUCCAGGUGUAGCGGUGAAAUGCGUAGAUAUCUGGAGGAACACCGGUGGCGAAGGCGGCAUCCUGGACCGGCAUUGACGCUGAGGCGCGAAAGCCAGGGGAGCAAAGCGG
rnacentral:rRNA from 1 species